rnacentral:rRNA from 1 species
CAGUAGCCGCGGUAAUACGGAGGAUCCAAGCGUUAUCCGGAAUCAUUGGGUUUAAAGGGUCCGUAGGCGGUCUUGUAAGUCAGUGGUGAAAGCCCAUCGCUCAACGGUGGAACGGCCAUUGAUACUGCAGGACUUGAAUUAUUGGGAAGUAACUAGAAUAUGUAGUGUAGCGGUGAAAUGCUUAGAGAUUACAUGGAAUACCAAUUGCGAAGGCAGGUUACUACCAAUUGAUUGACGCUGAUGGACGAAAGCGUGAGUAGCGAACAGGAUUAGAUACCCCUGUAGUCCCUGUCUCUUAUAC